GUUUUUUUUUAAGAAUUCUUGUGUGUUAGUCUGUGUUAUCGCCUCAUCCAUAUAGUACAUGCAGGCUGGACAGUUCUUUAAGCUCUUAUCAGACUCUGGCCUCUUGCAUUUCCGUUAGAGUGAAGGCGUUAUCUCACGUAGCCCUCUCCUCUGUCCAGACUGUCCACCACAGAUUAGUCAAACUCAAACCUGAGUUUGAGUCUACUUUGCACUUGUAAAAAUGUUCCCUGCAUUACUUGGUCACAUGGUUCCCAAAGUCUGACUUUCAUUUAUUUUGUUUCAGUUUCUUUCUGCUCUUUGUCUCCAACCUUCAUGUUGUUAAGUCGAUACUUCUUCUGGUUCAGACGAAGCAGAAAAUACUUUGGAGUCAGCUUGCCACAACUUGUGCUUACACAAUUUGGUUAUGUAGCAUGCAACACGUUGCCAUCUUUCUACAGACCUUUCUUGGAAAGAUAGUGAUAAUGCUAAUUUAGUAUCACAAGAUAUUUUCACCUAUAUAAACAUAAAGGCCCACAUAAACUCUUAGUUUUGCAUUCAAACAACAAAAAGGCAGAGGGUUUGCUAUCUUUCCAUCUUCCAAUCUCCUCCUGGCUCUCCUGUACCUGCAAAUACACUAUGCACAACUUUCCCUCUGAUUCUCACAGUCAGACUAGAAUGGGUUUUGUUUGACCAGGGCUUUGCCAAAUGUUUGGUGUGCUCCAUUACAGAAUAUUUUAUACUUGAGUUGAUUUGAUUGAUUGAAAUGGGGAGUGACUAAAAAGUAUCUGCUUUGACAAGUCUAAUUGCUAUGGUUAAACACAAACUUGCUAUUUAAUCAACAGCUUGGCAUGUUGUGGUUAAAAUGAAGUAUUGCUGUGUGUUCAUUGGCAUACUUGCAUGUGAUGUCCUGGAUGAAACAAUGGUAUAUAACUAAUCAAUUCUGAAGAUGAAGGCAUGGCUUGAUAAGAAUUGACCGGUUAACUUACCAACAAUUUACCACAGAAAGAUGGAUUCAUCAGAUCCUCAUUGCACUGUGUGGAUGCACAUAUGCUGAUGUCCAUAAAAACAAAUCAUCAACAUCAGCAUCAAAAGUGAGAUGUAUUUCUGCCAAUUUGUUGUGUGAAGUGCUUUGCAUAGUAGGUUGUUUAGAACAGCAAAUGUAAAAGCUUUAAUUUAUUGGAUUCAAUUAUUUAUAUACAUAUACAAAACUUUAAGUUAAAACAAAAAACGGAAUUGGAAAUAAUGAUUAUCUAUGAAUGGAAUGGCAGCCUGUCAUGGCAGCGCCUAUCAUUGUUGUAGUUUUAGUGUGUUUUUAGCCUGUGUUUAACUGUUUUCUUACUUUCUUACUACUUUGUUCACGUCGCCUAAAUACUUUUUUGGCGUUUUUGAGCACUUUUCAUUUUUUGUUUGCACGGGUCUCCAUGGUGACGGCGAGUCGCAUUGUUUACACCCGCGACCAGAUGAUUGCCCUGAGGUACCCGAGCAUCCUGACUGGAGAGAGAGCCUCUAUACCGGAGGAGCCGAGGAGGAGACGGCGAGGCUGCAGAGAGGGGGUUAAACGGAGGAUGAAGAAGAGGAGGUUUAAACUCUACAUCCCUGCAGUCAUCACUGGAAACAAACGUGGCUACACGAGCAGAUACCGGACUCCAACGUCACCAUGCCCGGCUUCCAGGCGGUUCGAGCCGACAGGGACACCACCGCGACCGGCAUGAAGAAAGGAGGGGGACUUGCCGUGCUCAUAAACAACAGGUGGUGUAACCCCAGGCACGUCUCUGUGAAAGAGCAUCUGCAGCCCGGACAUCGAGCUCGUCGCAGUCGGACUUCGUCCAUGUUGUCUGCCACGGUGGCUUUCCAGUGUUGUCGCCAUCACUGUCUUUGUUCUUCACAGUGGUCUUCAUCAUCAUCAUUACUGUUUACAUUUAUGAUGUCUUAUUUAUUCUCCUGUACAGCACUUUGGUCAACUUUGGUUGUUUUUAAAGUACUUAACAAAUAAGUACGGAUUGGAUUGGAUAUGAAAUGUCUGAAAAUGAAGAAAAAUGCCCACUGUUGUUUGUUAACUUGUCUAACCAACUUUCAAAAAGUCAAAACAUAUUCAAUUUAAAAUCAUAUGAAAUUGAGAAAAAUUCUCUCAUGCAGGAAACUGGAACCAAAGAAUGUUUGGACUCAUGACCAUGUUGUAACUAUAUGUGUCAAUGACAUAUACUAACAUAAUACUGUUGGGACUGGAAAUCCUGAAGGAACCCUAUGCCUCUAUUUCACACACCCACAUACAAACAGCAACAGCCACCAGUCCAGUACGUCACAACCGCUUCAUUAACAGACCACACAUUUAGCCAGAAAGCAGUUUGGCAGUUGUUUCAAUUUGUUUUCUUUCAUUCUAUUGGUUGGACCCAGAAAUGGCGCCUGCGGUUUGCUGAUAGCGUCGCUUGCUGCAACCACAUGAAGAGAAAAAUCAACAGCCAAUUAAGCCAUUAGUACUGAUGGAACGGGGAAGAUGACAGUGUGCACAACCAUUGGACAAACACAUUAAGUUAAGUCUGCAGUGCCAUGGCAGGCUGACACACACACACACACACACACACACACACACACACACACACACACACACACACACAAGGUACAGCACAACAGACAGCAAGUGGUAGUGAUAUCAAAGGUACAAACCUGUAGGAUGGGUGACAGUUCCAAGUAAUGCAAAUGAGGUAGAACACAUAAAUCAAUUAAAAUGUUAUUAACUGUUCUCACUUAUUGAGUCCUGACAGCAUAAUGUACAAUGCACAGCAGUAACACUUUGCUGUACCGAACUCCUGGGUGGUGCAAGCUAAGCAAAAAAGGACGAUAGACAAAAGGAAAAAAAGCUCUGCCAUUAAAAGUGAUUCACCUUGGCAUGCUGAACAUUGCUGUGUUUUUGCAAUUAUGACAGCAAUGUGACAGUAUUUUGGCAAAUGCCCAUACCUCCCUCACUCUGUCAUAUUCAUUGCUGAAAUAUACACCUCCUUCAAAAGAACUGGGAGCGAAGGGAAAAUAAAACAAAUACUUGCUCUAUGAACGACAAUCGUCUCGUUAUCGCGCGCAUCUCACUUUUUAUUAUGAGUAAUGCCAGGAGUUGAAUAUUGGUGGAGAUCAAUAUUUCUAAAGAAAGAAUAACCCAUGACUUUUCUUACUAGAUGAGAUAUUGAACAUGAUGAAAUUGUACAAAUCAGUCGUGUCUCAAUAAGCUGAAAUAAAUCACAGUCAUAGGGUAUGGACUGAAUUCUGUAUGAAA